rnacentral:rRNA from 1 species
GAUGAACGCUGGCGGCGUGCCUAAUACAUGCAAGUCGAACGCAUUGUGGUUGAAAUGAUAUGAAGAACUUGUUCAGAUUUGAUUUUCAACAUUGCAAUGAGUGGCGAACGGGUGAGUAACACGUGGGAAACCUACCUCUUAGCAGGGGAUAACAUUUGGAAACAAAUGCUAAUACCGUAUAAUAAUUAAAACCGCAUGGUUUUAGUUUAAAAGAUGGUCUUGCUAUCACUAAGAGAUGGUCCCGCGGUGUAUUAGUUAGUUGGUGAGGUAAUGGCUCACCAAGACAAUGAUACAUAGCCGAGUUGAGAGACUGACCGGCCACAAUGGGACUGAGACACGGCCCAUACUCCUACGGGAGGCAGCAGUAGGAAGUCUUCCACAAUGGACGAAAGUCUGAUGGAGCAACGCCGCGUGUGUGAUGAAGGGUUUCGGCUCGUAAACACUGUUGUAAGAGAAGAAUGACAUUGAGAGUAACUGUUCAAUGUGUGAC